AGUACUCCAAAGAUUCCUUCAAUGUCGCUUGAUGAGUACUUUAAAAGGAGUAGGGAGCAACUUGAAGCAGAGGAGUCUGAAAAUGAAGAACUUGACAGGGAACAAGAAGUUGAGGGUGAGAUAAACUAUGAAAAUGAUGAUGGUGAUAAUUCAAUGGAAGGAGAAGCAUCAAAAAAAAAAAAAAGAGGAAGCACAUUGUGCUUAAAAAUUCAUGCUCGGUCACUAGUUGAUAGA